rnacentral:lncRNA from 1 species
GGAGGAAUCUGGAAUAUUUCAAGAUAAGGUCCAAUUCUUCCAUUGUCUCGUAAUCCAGUGCAGAGAUGUGAAAUGUAAGAUCAUCUGAAGGGGAGCUUUGGUUCAAGUCAAACGCAUGCCUCAACCUAGCAGAGCCAAAGAGAUACUUGUAUGAUGUAAGUCAGAUUAUGUCAUUCUUCUGCUCAAAACUCUCCAAUAAAUAGCUCACUAUUCCCUUCAGAGAAAAGCCAAAGGACUUAAAAUGGCCAACAAAGCCUAUGAUCUGCACCCCCCUCCUCCCUCUACCUCACUUCAUCUUUCUCCCUGACUCACUUGGUUUCAGUCCUACUUGCCUGGUAUGUUUCUUCAAUUACACUCCCAUUUCAGGACCUUUGCACUGACUGUUUCCUCUGCCUGGACCCCACUUGCUCCAGCUUUGCACAUGGCUACCUCCCUUACUUUCUUCAGG